UAGGGAAUAUUGCAAAAUGGGCGAAAGCCCGAUGCAGCAACGCCGCGUGGGCGAUGAAGGCCUUCGGGUCGUAAAGCCCUUUUUGAGGGGAUGAGGAAGGACAGUACCCUCAGAAUAAGCCUCGGCUAACUACGUGCCAGCAGCCGCGGUAAAACGUAGGAGGCGAGCGUUAUCCGGAUUUACUGGGCGUAAAGCGCGUGCAGGCGGAUUGGAGAGUUGGAUGUGAACGCUCCCGGCUUAACUGGGAGAGGUCGUUCAAUACUUCCAGUCUUGAGUGCAGUAGAGGGAAGUGGAAUUCCGGGUGUAGUGGUGAAAUGCGUAGAUAUCCGGAGGAACACCAGUGGCGAAAGCGGCUUCCUGGACUGUAACUGACGCUCAGACGCGAAAGCUAGGGUAGCAAACG
rnacentral:rRNA from 1 species